rnacentral:rRNA from 1 species
UACGUAGGUGGCAAGCGUUGUCCGGAUUUACUGGGCGUAAAGAGCGCGCAGGCGGUCGUUCAAGUCGCGUGUGAAAGCCCCCGGCUCAACUGGGGAGGGUCACGCGAUACUGAUCGACUCGAAGGCAGGAGAGGGUAGUGGAAUUCCCAGUGUAGAGGUGAAAUUCGUAGAUAUUGGGAAGAACACCGGUGGCGAAGGCGGCUCACUGGCCCGAAACUGACGCUCAUGCACGACAGCGUGGGGAUCAAACAGG